CUGAAAGGGAAGAGGAGUGAAUGUCACAAGUGGUGAACUUUUAAGCUGGGCAUUUGCCUCUUUCCUCUUUGGUGUCUGCAAUGGAACCGUACAGCUAGACAGGGAAAUACUAGAGGACUGAUGGAGAAAAGGAGAGAACAGGAAGAUGGUUGGGGGUAAGAAGCAUGAGAAGACGGGCAUCAGGAGCACUUGCAGAACUACUGCAGACCACCCAGAGAUUCAUCUGCAGAUCCCUAUCUACUUUCUAUCCACCUGAUUUAAUCUGUCCAUCCCACUUUCUGCAAUUCCUCUCUCACUCCUUCUGCCUUCUGCAAACACAUGAAACAAGUCUUGGGCAUAACGAGUUCUUGAUAAGACAGAAGAGUAACACAUAUUUACACAGUGUGC